rnacentral:lncRNA from 1 species
GGCAUUACAACUCUCCCCAACUUAUAAAAUUUUCGUCCCCGAAAAUGUACCUCAUGCAAACAACUCUGGAUAAGACUCUAGCAUCUUACAUCAUGCAAAUUCGAAAGAUGCGGUGGUAAACCCACUCGGUACGCCACCGUUCCAAUUCUUUCUGAUAUCUGAUAUGAACCAAUAAACCUCGGAGUCAAUUUCCUUGACUUCAAUGCACGUCCAACACCAGUCACAUGAGUGACUCUCAAAAAUACAUGGUCUCCUUCCUGAAACUCAAGGUCUUUCCUAAGCUUAUCAUGAUAACUCUUCUAUCGACUCUGCGACGCUUUCAUCUUCUCUUGGAUCAACUUAACCUUCUAAGUAGUUUGAUGAACGAUUUCUGGUCCCAAAAUUACACUCUCACCUGACUCGAACCAACACAAUGGAGUCCUACACCUCCGACCAUACAGUGCUUCGAAUGGUGUCAUUCUAAUACUAGAAUGAUAA